GUCGCAUCUGUGUAAGGACAGCAGGGGGAGCUCUAAAUAACGGUAUCAGAGGGGAAGAAAAAGUACUGUGGCGGUGUGUGCUGAACAUCAUAAAGUCAGUCAAGAAGUUCUGCAGCAGCCUCGAAGUCACUUAUUAAUAGAGAAUGCAACAACUCCCACCUGUUCAUGAGCUCCUUCCUUCUUUGAAAUUGCAUACGGUAACGUCAAGGUAAUGACAUGUUCCGCCCCUUCUCUUAAUGUUAGCGUAGCACAGAGCUUCGGCAUAUCAAGCCACAAAAAAAAUUAAAUACACAAAAAUACUUAUGUAGUUUGUCUAUAUUAUCUCAUUUCCAGUCAAAUUUAGACUGAACAACCAAUCUGAAAAUUCCCACGGCCGACCGUCGACGGCGAUUCAGCAUGCACAAUUGGCUGAAACAGGACCAACUAGAGCCAACGGUGCGGGACACACUGCACUAAGUGCAGGCAACGAUCAGUCACCGACGCUGUCCGACGGCCAGUUGUCGGCUGAACGUGUCCCUAGCAGAGAACAACAAAUGAAUGACUUAGUUCAGAAAGUCGACUGCAGUUUGGUAACGUUCCUCUGGUGCAUGCCGUGGUGUCUGACCAGCUCAUCUGAACGGGCGAACUUCUUGUGACAGGUUGGCCAGCGACAGGAUGAUAAAAAAAGGCCAGGAUAUGGACGCAGCAGGAAAGUGAGGUAUGGGCGCAACCCUGCCGUCCACAACAGGAGGGAC